rnacentral:rRNA from 1 species
UGGGGAAUAUUGGACAAUGGGCGAAAGCCUGAUCCAGCCAUGCCGCGUGUGUGAAGAAGGUCUUCGGAUUGUAAAGCACUUUAAGUUGGGAGGAAGGGCAGUUACCUAAUACGUGAUUGUUUUGACGUUACCGACAGAAUAAGCACCGGCUAACUCUGUGCCAGCAGCCGCGGUAAUACAGAGGGUGCAAGCGUUAAUCGGAAUUACUGGGCGUAAAGCGCGCGUAGGUGGUUUGUUAAGUUGGAUGUGAAAUCCCCGGGCUCAACCUGGGAACUGCAUUCAAAACUGACUGACUAGAGUAUGGUAGAGGGUGGUGGAAUUUCCUGUGUAGCGGUGAAAUGCGUAGAUAUAGGAAGGAACACCAGUGGCGAAGGCGACCACCUGGACUAAUACUGACACCGAGGUGCGAAAGCGUGGGGAGCAAACA